rfam:Astyanax mexicanus chromosome 3, whole genome shotgun sequence.
GGCUUCAUAGCUCAGAGGUGAGAGGACUGGUCUUGUAAACCAGGGGUCAUGAGUUCAAUUCUCACUUGGGCCU